rnacentral:rRNA from 1 species
AUUGAACGCUGGCGGCAGGCCUAACACAUGCAAGUCGAGCGCGCGGCGGACGUGUGUGUAAUGUAUGGGGAUCUGCCCGAUAGAGGGGGAUCACUACUGGAAACUGUGGCUAAUACCGCAUACUAUCGGGUGCACCGAUAGGGGAUUAGAUAGUGGGUGGGGUAAAGGCUCACCUAGGCGACGAUCUCUAGCUGGUGUGAGAGGAUGAUCAGCCACACUGGGACUGAGACACGGCCCAGACUCCUACGGGAGGCAGCAGUGGGGAAUAUUGCACAAUGGGCGCAAGCCUGAUGCAGCCAUGCCGCGUGUAUGAAGAAGGCCUUAGGGUUGUAAAGUACUUUCAGCGGGGAGGCGUUACCCGCAGAAGAAGCACCGGCUAACUACGUGCCAGCAGCCGCGGUAAUUC